rnacentral:rRNA from 1 species
GACGAACGCUGGCGGCGUGCUUAACACAUGCAAGUCGAGCGGUAAGGCCCUUUCGGGGGUACGACGAGCGGCGAACGGGUGAGUAACACGUGGGUGACCUGCCCUCAGCUCUGGGAUAAGCCUGGGAAACCGGGUCUAAUACCGGAUAUGACUCCAUGACGCAUGUUGUGGGGUGGAAAGCCUUGUGCGGCUGAGGAUGGGCCCGCGGCCUAUCAGCUUGUUGGUGGGGUGAGGCCUACCAAGGCGACGACGGGUAGCCGGCCUGAGAGGGCGACCGGCCACACUGGGACUGAGAUACGGCCAGACUCCUACGGGAGGCAGCAGUGGGGAAUCUUGCGCAAUGGGCGAAAGCCUGACGCAGCGACGCCGCGUGAGGGAUGACGGCCUGG